UGAGGAAUAUUGGUCAAUGGACGCAAGUCUGAACCAGCCCAGUAGCGUGCAGGAUGACGGCCCUAUGGGUUGUAAACUGCUUUUAUAUGGGGAUAAAGUGGGGAACGUGUUCCCUUUUGCAGGUACCAUAUGAAUAAGGACCGGCUAAUUCCGUGCCAGCAGCCGCGGUAAUACGGAAGGUUCGGGCGUUAUCCGGAUUUAUUGGGUUUAAAGGGAGCGUAGGCCGUUUGGUAAGCGUGUUGUGAAAUGUAGGAGCUCAACUUCUAGAUUGCAGCGCGAACUGUCAGACUUGAGUGCGCACAACGUAGGCGGAAUUCAUGGUGUAGCGGUGAAAUGCUUAGAUAUCAUGAAGAACUCCGACUGCGACGGCAGCUUACGGGAGCGCAACUGACGCUGAAGCUCGAAGGUGCGGGUAUCGAACAGG
rnacentral:rRNA from 1 species